CCAGCUCCAAUAGCGUAUAUUAAAGUUGUUGCGGUUAAAAAGCUCGUAGUUGAAUUUCUGCCGAGGACGACCUACCCACCUUAGGGUGCGUGUCAGUGUUGACCGAGGCAUCCUCCUAGCAGCGUCCGUGCUUCACUGUGCGGUACGUUCUAGGACUUUUACUUUGAGGAAAUUAGAGUGUUUCAAGCAGGCUUUCGCCUUGAAUAUUUUAGCAUGGAAUAAUAAUUUAGGACUUCGGUUCUAUUUUGUUGGUUUCUAGAACUGAAGUAAUGAUUAAUAGGGACAGUCGGGGGCAUUCGUACUCAACAGUCAGAGGUGAAAUUCUUGGAUUUGUUGGAGACGAACUACUGCGAAAGCAUUUGCCAAGGAUGUUUUCA
rnacentral:rRNA from 1 species